UUUGCUCGCCGUUACUAGGGGAAUCCUGGUAAGUUUCUUUUACUCCGCUUAUUGAUAUGCUUAAACUCAGCGGGUAAUCUCGCCUGACCUGGGGUCGCGAUGCGAGCACCGUCCUUGCGAUGCCGAAAGGGUUCAAGGGUCUCGAUUGACGGACGCGCACGAAUUCAAACGAGGUUGCUUACAGCAUUACCACUGAUCGUCGCGACGAUGAUGUCGUCGAAGACUCGAAUUUAGGCCAACCGUUAGCUGUGAGCGCACGGGAGGCCAAUUUCUGCCCACGGUCCAACCGAGGCUCGGGGGCUCAUGGUUGGAUGGGGGCGACGAUGCGUGACACCCAGGCAGACGUGCCCUCGGCCUAAUGGCUUGGGGCGCAACUUGCGUUCAAAGACUCGAUGGUUCACGGGAUUCUGUAGUUGACACCAAGUAUCGCAUUUCGCAAUGUUCUUCAUCGAUGCGAGAGCCGAGAUAUCCGUUGCCAAGAGUCGUUCUGUAUAUUUUGCGACAAGAGAACAACAUACUGAAGCAUCGACACUGCGAACGGUGUGGCGACAGAAGACGUGCCCCUUUUCUCGUUUCGAUUCCUUGGCGCGAUUCGCGCCGGGGGUUUGUUCAUUUUGCCUCGAAGAGGUUGAUCCCGGCAUCUCACCCCACCCGAAGGGCAAAGGGACGACGAGACUGGCCGCUCUGAGACACGGGGGUGGCGAGAGGCGUGGAUGCACCCGCACCACCUCUGGUGUUGUUUGCAACACGUUCGCGGGUCGUUCUGCUAGGCAAGUUUCGACAAUAAUCCUUCCGCAGGUUCACCUACGGAAACCUUGCUACGACCUCUCCUUCCUCUAAAUGAUAAGGUUCAGUGGACUUUUCGCGACGUCGCGGGCAGCGAACCGCCCACGUCGCCGCGACCCGAACAGUUCACCGGACCAUUCAAUCGGUAGGAGCGACGGGUGGUGUGUACAAUGGGCAGGGACGUAGUCAAUGCGAGCUGAUGACUCGCGCUUACUAGGAAUUCCUCGUUGAAGACAAACAAUUGCAAUGAUCUAUCCCCAUCACGAUGAAAUUUCAAAGAUUACCCGGGCCUGUCGGCCAAGGCUAUAGACUCGUUGAAUACAUCAGUGUAGCGCGCGUACGGCCCAGAACAUCUAAGGGCAUCACAGACCUGUUAUUGCCUCAAAAUUCCUUGGCCUAAAAGGCCAUAGUUCCUCUAAGAAGCUAGCCACGGAGGAUCACCUCCGUGUAGCUAGUUAGCAGGCUGAGGUCUCGUUCGUUAACAGAAUUAACCAGACAAAUCGCUCCACCAACUAAGAACGGGCAAGCACCACCACCCAUAGAAUCAAGAAAGAGCUCUCAGUCUGUCAAUCCUUACUAUGUCUGGACCUGGUAAGUUUCCCCGUGUUGAGUCAAAUUAAGCCGCAGGCUCCACUCCUGGUGUAAGUAGCAAAUACCAUCAAACAAACUAUAACUGAUUUAAUGAGCCAUUCGCAGUUUCACAGUCUGAAUUUGUUCAUACUUACACAUGCAUGGCUUAAUCUUUGAGACAGGCAUAUGACUACUGGCAGGAUCAACCAGGUAGCAUUCCUCCGCGACGUCGGCACUGCAUGGCCCUCAACAUGCCCCGUGAGCUACGAAGAGGUCAUAACAGAGCAGGAGCAUCGUCCGUGUCAAGAGACAAAACGCAUAGGCAUCGAGAGAUGAGGGCCUGAACCCUACUCUCAAAAAUAUUUUCUGCAUCCGAAAGCACGAUCGAGCACCAGUGCACCGACGAGGCCACGCCAAUUUAAGGGGGCGCACUCGGGACACAAGGCACGAUUGAGGUCCACCACGCACCCCGAAGGGCACGGGAUGGAGAAGGGAUGACAACACAUCCAUAAUUCCAUCUGGCUUAGGUACGCAGCACAAGAUCCCGAUCGCACCCCUUGAGUUCGAUUACAACAAGGGGAGUUAAUAAAGAGGAGUGCGGCUCAACAAUUCAAUGCGAGUAGCAUGGAGCCUGCCAAUACACACAACCAAAACACCACUCAUAUGCCUAUUGCAUACUAGUAGUAGCGCCCACGCACACCGCCCAACAGCCCACCCAAUCGAAUGGUAGGGGAGCGGAAGGAACAAUGAACGAGGGCGCACCACAACCGCUUUGCACGAGAACUACAAGGGGAAAAGUCCCACCGGGCUUGGUCGAGCCAAGACCGAGCCUACAAACUCAACUUACACCCCCUAGUGGGCCGUUGCCGUCAAAGGGACUUGGUACUAGGGUCGCAGGCAGUGUCGAAUGCGGGCAAGGGCUUGGCAAGGCCAAGGCACCGUGUGGUCACCGACUUGGGAUGCACAAGGCGUCCCUAAACGUGACGGGGGCGUAAGGGUAAGCCAAGCUCGAGCCCAUAGCAAUGCAUAAGCCACCCCAAGAGAUCUUUGCCCGAAUAGGGAACUUGGUCCUGGAGUCGUUGGAUACAUUUCUAUGGGCACGGGCUUGACCGGCCGGAAAAUUGUCACCCCGGCCACCACCACC
rnacentral:lncRNA from 1 species